rnacentral:rRNA from 1 species
GACGAACGCUGGCGGCGUGCCUAAUACAUGCAAGUUGAGCGAUGAAGAUUGGUGCUUGCACCAAUUUGAAGAGCAGCGAACGGGUGAGUAACGCGUGGGGAAUCUGCCUUUGAGCGGGGGACAACAUUUGGAAACGAAUGCUAAUACCGCAUAACAACUUUAAACAUAAGUUUUAAGUUUGAAAGAUGCAAUUGCAUCACUCUAAGAUGAUCCCGCGUUGUAUUAGCUAGUUGGUGAGGUAAAGGCUCACCAAGGCGAUGAUACAUAGCCGACCUGAGAGGGUGAUCGGCCACAUUGGGACUGAGACACGGCCCAAACUCCUACGGGAGGCAGCAGUAGGGAAUCUUCGGCAAUGGACGAAAGUCUGACCGAGCAACGCCGCGUGAGUGAAGAAGGUUUUCGGAUCGUAAAACUCUGUUGGUAGAGAAGAACGUUGGUGAGAGUGGAAAGCUCAUCAAGUGACGGUAACUACCCAGAAAGGGACGGCUAACUACGUG